rnacentral:tRNA from 3 species
AGGAAGGUAGUUCAGCUGGUAAGAAUUCCUGUCUGAUAAGCAGGCGGUCGUGAGUUCGAGUCUCACCCUUCCUA